GGUCCACCUGGAUUUAUGAAAAAAGGUAUACCAAGAUCUCAAAAUGAAGAAUGGAAAAGAAUCUGAACAUUGCUUACACCAAAAUUUAGCAUUGGAAACCUGAAGGAGAUGUUCCCCAUCAUCCAAGAAUAUGGAGACGCACUGGUGAAAAACAUGUGCCGGGGAGUAGAGAAGGGCAAGCGUGUCACCAUGAAAGAGUGAGUAAUGAUGCAUGCAUUUGCUGGGGGGCUCUGUGCCC